AUCCUAACCCUAAACCCCUCCCCUUUUCCCUUUAACCUAACACAUACACAACACAGAAAACAGAAAGGAAAGAGAGAGGGCUCCAGGGAGAGCUGCGCCAGGAGAAGGAAGAGAGGAGAAUCGGGGAUGUCGCCAACGGAAAAGGGGAUUGCUGCCACCGUUGCCGUCGAGGGGGAGAGAGUUGCUGUCGCGUUUGUUGCAUCAUCGCCAUCGUGGAGCCGCGAAGAGGCCAUCACCGGUGCGAGCUCGCGGAGGGAGAGAGAAACCCGCGAAUUCGCUGCUGAGUCGCCGUUGGUGCGAGGAACAGAAGACGCGACAGGGGUUUGAGGCGGCGCCGUUAGCGUCACAGUCACCGUCGUUCCGUUCUGUCACUGUCACCAUUGACGCUCGCCGGAGAAGGAGCCACUGUCGGAAGAAACCAUUGCCGCUAUGUGUAGAGAGAAGAGAAGCGCGAGAAUCAGAGGUAAGAAAGGGAAACAACGCCGUUGUUGCUACUGUGUCACUGUCGGAGCUCCUCGCUGCCGCUCUGAUUGCCGGAAGUCGCCGCUAAAGCUGUUGUCGCCCUAUUGCCCUGUUCUUUUUAAUUUAUGGCUGAUCCACUGCUACUACCAUUGCAAACUAUUCAGUUGAUGCUGCUACCGUAACAAUUCCGCCUCCGAUUUCUCCUAAUUGCGACAUCGAGACAUUUUUUGCCCUUUUGUUGGAUAUAGAGAAGUGAGGCUUGUGAGCAAAGAAUCCAAACAUGUAAGUAUACUGUUCGUAAUAUUAUUAGCUUAUCCAAUUUUACGUUGAAAUGCAUGUUCAUUGUAGCAUUGUAGAGAUCCUCAGCUUGUGCAGCAAUUGCAAUGAGUGCCAUGCAGGGUAGUAUUUACUGUUUAUCAAUAAAUAAUUAUACAAAAGAAAGUUCUGCAUUUGUUGAUAUAAAUAAUCUAACUGAAUCAUUUGAGUAUGCGAUAACUUAGAUGAAGGUCUUCAAAUUGGAGGAUACAUUAACUUGUUUGGUAGAUACAAUGAACUGAAUUUAUUUAUUGAAUUUUUUAGCUGAAUUUUGCUUGUGUAAUAGAUGUGCUUAAGAAAAACUUGAAGAGCAACGAACAUGGUAAGAGGAAGAAUUAGCUCGAGUGAAAGCUCAAUUGGAAGCUCAACAAACCAUUGUGAACUCUUUCAUAGUGUGCUUUGACAAUGAAAAAAACAUGACAAUUAAAGGUGUAUGGUGUAGUUCACGUCAACAUUAGUACCAUGUCUCACUUAGCUUAUGGAAGGAUACUUGAAGAGCGCUCUACUACCAAUAGACUAGACUUGAGGGUGUAAAUCACUCUACCAUGUCGAGCAUUAUAAGUGGGGCAGACUUACCUGAGGCAAUAGCAGAAGAUCACCCGACUCUAACAAACUAUCUGCACUCGUUAAUAUAUCAUGAACAAGAUAAGGAGUUCGUUCACAAAGAUGUGUAGCUCCUCCAAUGAUAUCUAAUUGUCUCCUCUACUUUUUUUCUGAUGCCUGGUAGUGAUCAACCACCUACUUUUGCAAGGCCGUCCACUGCCUGUGAGACUACUCUUGGAAACGCUGGUGAAGAUGAUAAUGAAUACUUGAUGAGGACUACGAUUAAUGAUAUUGAUGUAGUUUAUUUUUAAUUUUGUUAACAUAUAUUUUACAAUUUUUUUCUAAUUGUAUUUAGUAUAUCAUUGUUGUUUGAGUAUGAUUUUUGAAUCAAUUUAACCGAUAGUUAUCAACGUUAAUAUUAUUAAUGAUUAUUAAUGAUGGUUGUAAGACGCCGAUAAAAGUAGAUAGAAAAUUACCAAUAGAGAUAUAUUUGACAAAUAUUUACUGACGUCUUGGUUGUUGGUAAACCCAUCGGUAAUGAAGAAUUUGCUAGUAGUGAUUGCUAGAAGAUUUAAACGAGAAGCCAAAUUUGUAGAGAUAGAGUUUGGAAAUACAUGGUUUUCCCAUAAAUCACACCAUGACGGGAUAUAAGGAGUGUAGGUUUAGCAUGGGAAGAAGCGAGUUAAUUAUCUUGGAUGUAUUAUUCGGAAAAAUGGAAAAAUAAUAGAAGAUAAAC